rnacentral:rRNA from 1 species
UACGAAGGGGGCUAGCGUUGUUCGGAAUUACUGGGCGUAAAGAGCUCGUAGGCGGUUUGUCGCGUCUGCUGUGAAAGACCGGGGCUCAACUCCGGUUCUGCAGUGGGUACGGGCAGACUAGAGUGAUGUAGGGGAGAGUGGAAUUCCCGGUGUAGCGGUGAAAUGCGCAGAUAUCGGGAAGAACACCCGUGGCUGAGGCGGCUCUCUAGUGCGGUACUGACGCUGAGACGCGAAAGCGUGGGGAGCGAACAGG